AUGAAUCAGGCCUGCACCUCGGCCACGAACCGGGAGCUCAUCGACUGCGACACGGCGGACAACGAAGGGUGCCAGGGCGGGCUCAUGGACAACGCCUUCGAGUACAUCAAGAGCAACGGCGGGCUCAUCACCGAGGCUGCCUACCCGUACCGCGCCGCCCAAGGCACCUGCAACGUCGCGAGAGCGGCCCAGAAUUCCCCCGUGGUGGUGCACAUCGACGGGCACCAGGACGUGCCGGCCAACAGCGAGGAGGCGCUGGCCCAGGCGGUGGCGAACCAGCCCGUGUCCGUGGCCGUCGAGGCCAGCGGGAAGGCGUUCAUGUUCUACUCCGAGGGGAUCUUCACCGGCAGCUGCGGCACGGAGCUGGACCACGGCGUCGCGGUGGUCGGGUACGGCGUGGCAGAGGACGGCAAGGCGUACUGGACGGUGAAGAACUCGUGGGGGCCGUCGUGGGGGGAGCAGGGCUACAUCAGGGUGGAGAAGGAUUCCGGCGCCGCGGGCGGGCUCUGCGGCAUCGCCAUGGAGGCGUCCUACCCCGUCAAGACCGACAGCAAGCCCAAGCCCACGCCCAGGCGCGCGCUCGGCGCCUGGGAGUCGCAGUGA
rnacentral:rRNA from 1 species